rnacentral:miRNA from 1 species
CAGCGAAAAUGGACGAGAAGA